rnacentral:rRNA from 1 species
GACGAACGCUGGCGGCGUGCUUAACACAUGCAAGUCGAACGAGAGCGUAGAGAAAGCUUGCUUUUUCUACAAUCUAGUGGCAAACGGGUGAGUAACGCGUAAACAACCUGCCCUACGGAUGGGGACAACAGCUGGAAACGGCUGCUAAUACCGAAUACGUUCCGAAAGUCGCAUGACUAUCGGAAGAAAGGAUGGCCUCUAUUUAUAAGCUAUCGCCGGAGGAGGGGUUUGCGUCUGAUUAGCUAGUUGGAGGGGUAACGGCCCACCAAAGCGACGAUCAGUAGCCGGUCUGAGAGGAUGAACGGCCACAUUGGAACUGAGACACGGUCCAGACUCCUACGGGAGGCAGCAGUGGGGAAUCUUCCGCAAUGGGCGAAAGCCUGACGGAGCAACGCCGCGUGAGUGAAGACGGCCUUCGGGUUGUAAAGCUCUGUUAUACGGGACGAAUAAUCUUGUGGUUAAUACCCAUGAGAAGUGACGGUACCGUAAGAGAAAGCCACGGCUAACUACGUG